GUGCUUCCUUCGGCAGCAUAUAUACUAAAAAUCGGAAUGACACAGAGAUUAGCAUGGCUCCUGAGCAAGGAUGAUAUGCAAAUUCAUGAAGCAUUCCACUUUAAA